GUAGUCAUAUGCUUGUCUCAAAGAUUAAGCCAUGCAUGUCUAAGUACAGGCUUUGGUACAGCGAAACCGCGAAUGGCUCAUUAAAUCAGCUAUAAUUUAUUAGAUUGUUCUUUACUUGGAUAACUGUGGGAAUUCUAAAGCUAAUACAUGCACAAAAGCUCCGACCUUCGGGAAGGAGUGCAGUUAUUAGACCAAAACCAGCCGAGCUUCGGCUCGAACUGUUUGGUGACUCUGGAUAACGAUGAGCGGAUCGCAUGGCCUUGAGCCGGCGACGUAUCUUUCAAGUGUCUGACCUAUCAACUGACGAUGGUACGCGAUAUGCCUACCAUGGUGAUAACGGGUAACGGAGAAUAAGGGUUCGACUCCGGAGAGGGAGCCUGAGAAAUGGCUACCACAUCCAAGGAUGGCAGCAGGCGCGCAAAUUACCCACUCUCAGUACGAGGAGGUAGUGACGAAAAAUAACAAUGCGGGACUCAUCAGAGGCCUCGCAAUUGGAAUGAGCGCACUUUAAAUCGUUCGACGAGGAUCUAUUGGAGGGCAAGUCUGGUGCCAGCAGCCGCGGUAAUUCCAGCUCCAAUAGCGUAUAUUAAAGUUGUUGCAGUUAAAAAGCUCGUAGUUGGAUCUGGGGUUCGGGUCGGCGGUUUGCCGCUUCGGCGGCUACUGCCGUGCUCGACUCUUACUAGCCGGUGCGUCUUGCGGUGCUCUUCAUCGAGUGCCGUAGGAGCCUGGCAUGUUUACUUUGAAAAAAUUAGAGUGCUCAAAGCAGGCGAUUCCGCCUGAAUAGUGUUGCAUGGAAUAAUGGAAUAGGACCUCGGUUCUAUUUUGUUGGUUUUCGGAACUUGAGGUAAUGAUUAAGAGGGACGGUCGGGGGCAUUCGUAUUUCGGUGUUAGAGGUGAAAUUCUUGGAUCGCUGAAAGACGGACAAAUGCGAAAGCAUCUGCCAAGAACGUCUCCAUUAAUCAAGAACGAAAGUCAGAGGUUCGAAGACGAUCAGACACCGUCCUAGUUCUGACCAUAAACGAUGCCAACUAGCGAUCCGCAGUGGUUGCUAUAAACGGACUCUGCGAGCAGCUUCCGGGAAACCAAAGUGUUUGGGUUCCGGGGGAAGUAUGGUUGCAAAGCUGAAACUUAAAGGAAUUGACGGAAGGGCACCACCAGGAGUGGAGCCUGCGGCUUAAUUUGACCCAACACGGGGAAACUCACCCGGUCCGGACACUGUAAGGAUUGACAGAUCGAGAGCUCUUUCUUGAUUCGGUGGAUGGUGGUGCAUGGCCGUUCUUAGUUGGUGGAGUGAUUUGUCUGGUUAAUUCCGAUAACGAACGAGACUCUAGCCUGCUAACUAGUUGCGCCGUGUUCAUACGCGGCUGUAGACUUCUUAGAGGGACAGGUGGCGUUUAGCCACACGAAAU
rnacentral:rRNA from 1 species